rnacentral:rRNA from 1 species
CCCUUAGAUGUCCGGGGCCGCACGCGCGCUACACUGUUUGAUUCAGCGAGUCUUAACCUUGACCGAAAGGUUUGGGUAAUCUUCUAAAGUCAAACGUGAUGGGGAUCGAUCAUUGCAAUUAUUGAUCGUGAACGAGGAAUUCCUAGUAAAUGCAAGUCAUCAGCUUGCGUUGAUUACGUCCCUGCCCUUUGUACACACCGCCCGUCGCUACUACCGAUUGAAUGGUUUAGUGAGAUCUCCGGAUUGGCUCUGUAGGUCCCGCAAGGGAUUUAUUAGUAGCCAAGAAGCUGCUCAAACUUGAUCAUUUAGAGGAAGUAAAAGUCGUAACA